UUUGUGUUUCAUCUACAGAUCAUGUGAUGUAGCAUUUAUAGGUACAGGAAAAGACUUGACCUUGUAUAAAUGCAAAGGAUCUUUCAGUUAUAAAAUUAGAAGUUUUAUAAUUAAAAACAAGCUUGAUCUUGUAAACAGAAAAUCAUUCAUUGAAUACACGACUUUCCAUUGAUUAAAUCUGGAACUCCUAACUUAAAUUCUUCUAAUUCAUCAUGUAUGCUACUGGUUUCUCUUAUAUGAUCCAUAAGAAUACUUGUAACAUAAUCCAUGACUUGGUGCAUAUUUGAGGAUGUUGAUUGCAAUCCACAGUCAAUAAAUUUGUUUGGUAGCAUGUUAUAUUUAAUACCUGAAAUACAGUUGUCCAUUCUUAUAAAUGGUUAGUUUAUUCAUGUGAUCAGCAAGAAAAUUGACAUGAUCCAUUGUUGUAGUGCCGAAAAGUCCUUUUGAAAGUUUAUCUAUGAAAAGCAAAAGUGCACUUUUACUUCUAGAUUAGAUUAUCAUUAUGGUUGAUUAAAGAAUAAGACUCAAUACUCGAAAUUGUACACUUGUAUUUUGCUCCUGUUCAUUGUCUGAGGCUUUUUAUUCGAGUCAUCAUGUGAGAUAACAUGUGACACGAUUGAUUGUUCACUUAACAAGCUGGAAGUGCAGGCACAUCAAAUUAUUUUGUGUUCCCUUAAAUUAAAGCAUGAUGUCUAUUUAUUAAAAGGGUGUUAUUUUCAACUGCUAAUAUGUAAAUGUGAUUUUCCUGUAAAAGACUAUUUUUCGUCUUAAACAUUUGAAAAUUUAAGUGCGUUUGCCUUUGUUAUUUAGCCCUUUUACAUUUACAGUACAUAUGUUAAUACUCAUUCAAAAGACAGAGAAUUACAUGAUACUAUUCUUGUUCCAAACAUUUAAAAAUCAUUUUGUAGAACUAGAUUAUUAGUUUAUACUUCAUUAUGCAAAGUUAUAUUAAGCUUUGAUGUUUAAAACCAUCAACUUCCAUGUUCUACAAGUUGUUAAUGCAUUGUGUUCAUUAAAUUCAUCUCAGCACUAAAUACUUGUUCAUUUUUAUGCAUAUUGCUUUACUCAUGUCUGUCGGUCUGUCGGUCCGUCCACCAGGUGGUUGUCAGACGAUAACUCAAGAACGCUUGGGCCUAGGAUCAUGAAACUUCAUAGGUACAUUGAUCAUGACCCGCAGAUGACCCCUAUUGAUUUUGAGGUCACUAGGUCAAAGGUCACGGUGACCCGAAGUAGUAAAAUGGUUUCCGGAUGAUAACUCAAGAAUGCAUACGCCUAGGAUCAUGAAACUUCAUGGGUAGAUUGAUCAUGACUCGCAGAUAACCCCUAUUGAUUUUGAGGUUACUAGGUCAAAGGUCAAGGUCACGGUGACCCGAAAUAGUAAAAUGGUUUUCGGAUGAUAACUCAAGAACGCAUAUGCCUAGGAUCAUGAAACUUCACAGGUAGAUUGAUCAUGACUCGCAGAUGACCCCUAUUGAUUUUGAGGUCACAAGGUUAAGGUCACGGUGACCCGAAAUAGUAAAAUGAUUUUCGGAUGAUAACUCAAGAACGCUUUUGCCUAGUUUUCGAUGUGUUGGUAACUCUGCCCUGCCUUCAUUUAGAUUGAUCUCGGUACAAUUUAUAAACAUUUCAUUAUCAUUAGCACUUUGCUUUUUGAGUGGUUACUCCUCCGUUGUUAUAUGAAUAAUUUAGUGAAAAUGUUAAAUGUGUUAAAAUAUUGUUCCAAAAUAUUUUAUAACACUCAAUAGUGAUGCCAUCAGAUUCCGGACUUUUGUUAUUUGGCAUUUCUUAACGAGCUUGUCAAUAUUCAUAUUCAGUUUGUAAUCCUUCACAUACUUGUUAUUCCACUUCCUUUAAAGCAUGAUGUGUUAUUUUAAAGAGGUUGUUAUUUUCGGCAUUCUUUCGUUUAUAGUGUUUCGCAAAAUAGGCUUCUUCUAUUAUUUGACUUUUAUUUGUUAUGUCUUUGCCAUUAACUACUAGUCUGUGUAUAGUUUUGUGUUUGCUACUACGUUUUAAAAUGUUUGCACAGUAUUUUGUAUUGUUUUCAUUGUGUUCAACAUGCUGUGCCCGUGCUCAAAGUAAUAUGCCAUUGAGGUGUGUGUGAUAAAUUCCUUCUAUUAUUUUUUUGUGUGUGAAAAUUUCCUUCUUCAAUGGAGGUGGUAUAAUUUGUGUUUCUUUUAUGCAUCUGUUUUUCAAGUGCUUCAAUGACUUUUAUGGCUUCAUUUUCAAGUUUGUGUGUUUCUUUUUUUUUUAGCUUACCUGAGCACAACGUGCUCAUGGUGAGCUUUUGUGAUCGCCUUUUGUGUGUCGUCUGUCGUGCAGCGUCAACAUUUACCUUGUUAACACUUUAGAGGUCAUAUUUAUUGUCCAAUCUUCAUGAAACUUGGUCAGAACAUGUGUCCCAUUAAUAUAUUGGACGAGUUUGAAAAUGCUUCUUGUCGUUGAAAAACCUGCGUGCCAGGGGGCGUGGCAGUUUUCCUAAUAUGGCUAUUAUAAAACCUUGUUUAAGACUCUAGAAGUUAUAUUUUUUGUCCAAUCAUCAUGAAACUUGGUCGGAACAUGUGUUCCAAUAAAAUCUUUGACAAGUUCAAAAAUGAUUCCGGUUGGAAGAAAAACAUGGCCGCCAGGGGGCGGGGCAGUUUUCCUAUUAUGGCUAUAGUAAAACUUGUUCACACUGUAGAAGUCAAAUUUAUUGUCCAAUCUUCAUGAAACUUAGUCAGAACAUUUGUUCUAAUGAUAUCUUUAACGAGUUCGAAUAUGGUUCCAAUUGGUUGAAAAACAUGGCUGCCAGGUGGCGAGGCAGUUUUUCCUUAAAUGGCUACAGUAAAACCUUCUUAACACUCUAGAAGUCACAUUUUUAGUCCCUCACAACAUGUUUCCCAGUAAAAUCUUAAACGAGUUCGAAAAUGGUUCCAGUUGAAUGAAAAACAUGGCCGCCAGUGGUCGUGGCAGUUUUCCUUAUAUAGCUUUAGUGUAAAGUAAAUUUUCAACAUUCUUUCGUUUAUAGUGUUUCGAAAAAUAGGCUUUUUCUAUUAUUUGACUUUGAUUUGUUAUGUCUUUGCCAUUAACUACUAGUCAGUGUAAAGUUUUGUGUUUGUUUCUACGUUUUAAAAUGUUGUACAGUAUUUUGUAUUGUUUUCAUUGUGUUUAACAUGCUGUGCCCGUGCUCGAAGUAUUAUGCCAUUGAGGUGUGUGUGAUAAAUACCUACUAUUAUAAUUUUUAUGUUCCCCACUAUAGUAGUGGUGGACAUAUUGUUUUUGCCCUGUCUGUUGGUCAGUUGGUUUGUUUACGCGAACUUUAACAUUUUGCAAUAACUUUUGCUAUAUUAAAGAUAGCAACUUCAUAUUUGGCAUGCAUGUGUAUCUCAUGAAGCUGCACAUUUUGAGUGGUGAAAGGUCAAGGUAAUCCUUCAAGGUCAGAGGUCAAAUAUAUGUGGCCAAAAUCGCUCAUUUUAUGAAUACUUUUGCAAUAUUGCAGAUAGCAACUUGAUAUUUGGCAUGCAUGUGUAUCUCAUGGAGCUGCACAUUUUGAGUGGUGAAAAGUCAAGGUCAUCCUUCAAGGUCAGAGGUCAAAUAUAUGUUGCCCAAAUCGCUUAUUUUAUAAAUAAUUUUGCAAUAUUAAAGAUAGCAACUUGAUAUUUGGCAUGCAUGUGUACCUCAUGAAGCUGCACAUUUUGAGUGGUGACAGGUCAAUGUCAUCCUUCAAGGUCAGAGGUCAAAUAUAUGUGGCCCCAAUCGCUUAUUUUAUGAAUACUCUUGCAAUAUUGAAGAUAGCAACUUGAUAUUUGGCAUGCAUAUGUAUCUCAAGGAGCUGCACAUUUCAUUUUUGUAAGAAUUUCCUUCUACAAUGGAGGUGGUAUAAUUUGUGUUUCUUCUGUUUUUCAAGACCUUCAAUGACUUUUAUGGCUUCAUUUUCAAGUUUGUGUGUUACUUUUUUUAUUAGCUUACCUGAGCACAACUUUCUCAUGGUGAGCUUUUGUGAUCGCCUUUUGUGCGUCGUCUGUCAUGCAGCGUCAACAUUAACCUAGUUAACACUUUAGAGGUCACAUUUAUUGUCCAAUCUUCAUGAAACUUGGUCAAAACAUGUGUCCCAUUAAUAUCUUGGAGGAGUUUGAAAAUGCUUCUCGUCGUUGAAAAACCUGCGUGCCAGGGGACGUGGCAGUUUUCCUAAUAUGGCUAUUAUAAAACCUUGUUAAGACUCUAGAAGUUACAUUUUUUUGUCCAAUCAUCAUGAAACUUGGUCAGAACAUGUGUCCCAAUGAAAUCUUUGACAAGCUCAAAAAUGGUUCCGGUUGGAAGAAAAACAUGGCCGCCAGGGGGCAGGGCAGUUUUCCUAUUAUGGCUAUAGUAAAACUUGUUCACACUGUAAAAGUCAAAUUUAUGGUCCAAUCUUCAUGAAACUUAGUCAGAACAUUUGUUCUAAUGAUAUCUUGGACGAAAUCAAUUAUGGUUCCAAUUGGUUGAAAAACAUGGCUGCCAGGUGGCGUGCCAGUUUUUCCUUACAUGGCUACAGUAAAACCUUGUUAACACUCUAGAAGUCACAUUUUUAGUCCGUCAAAACAUGUUUCUCAAGAAAAUCUUCAACGCGUUCGAAAAUGGUUCCAGUUGAAUGAAAAACAUAACCGCCAGUGGUCGUGGCAGUUUUCCUUAUAUAGCUUUAGUGUAUAGUAAAACCUUUUUAACACUCUAGAAGUCACAUUUAUUGUCCAAUCUUCAUGAAACUUAGUCAUAACAUUUCUACAAUCCAUAUCUCAGAUGAGUUUGAAAAUGGUUCUGGUCUGUUGAAAAACAUGGCUGCCAGGUGGCGGGCCAGUUUUCCUUACAUGGCUAUAGUAAAUCCUUGUUAUAACGCUAAAAGUCACAUUUGUGGUCCAAUGCUUAUGAAACUUGGUCAGAAUAUUUGUACUAAUGAUAUCUGGGCUCAGAUUGAAAAUGGUUUAGGUCCGUUUAAAACAUGGCCGCAAGGGGGCGUGUCAUUUUUCCUAAUAUGGCUAUUUAGUAAUGUUAACACUAGAAGUCGCAAUGAUUAUCCAAUCUUCAUGAAACUUGAUCAGAACAUUUAUUCUAACAAUUGCUCAGCUGAGUUUGAAAAUGGUUAAAAUACGUUGAAAAAUAUCGCCGCCCGGAAGGGGGGGCAGUUGUCCUUAUAUGGCUUUAUUGAAAACUUGUUGACGCUAUAUUAGCCUCAUUUAUUGGCCAAUCUACAUGAAACUUGGUCAAAACAUUAUUUUGUCCCAAUGAAAUCUUAGCGAAGAUUGGAAAUGGGUCAUAUGAGCUUAAAAACUAGGUCACUAGGUCAAAUAUAAAAAAAAACAUGUUGAAAGUCACUUUUUUGGUCUAAUCUUCAUGAAUCAGCUUGCAUUUGUCCAGAAUAGUCUAGUACCUUUUGCUCUCAGGUGAGCGCCUUAGGGCCUAACAGCCCUCUUGUUUUAAAUGACUUGCAUCUUAUUGUUGUGUUAAGUAUCUUGCCUUUAAUUAUUUCCCAUAAGGUGUGUGGAUUUGCAUCUUUGUUAUCUUAAACUGUAUUGGUUAUUACCUGUUAUAUUUGUGUUUGAUAUUGUGUAUCUUUUCAAAAGCUAUUAUUUACUUUAAAAAAAAAAGAACAUUUUGAAUAACAUAAUUGAAAACUACAAUUACAUAAACAUAUGGCAUACAGUUAAUCAUAAUGAAAAAAAAAUACACCUGGCACUCAAACACAAAACCAGCAAUAUUUUGGAGAUAAGAUUUUUUUUAAAUAUGCGAGUCUAUUGCAACAUUAUCGAAACAUGCAACAUAAAACCAAGAUUUAUGACUGAUCACUCGAUAGUUGAACUUUAACUGCAUGAAAUACAACCUGAAAUAGCCCAAGGUACUUUAAAGAUUUCCAUUUCUUUUAUCUCUAAUAAUGGGUUAAAAACAAUAUUGAAAUCCUCUCCGACUAUCUAUGUUCGGACCGUAAACGUUCAUUAAUGUUAAUUGUGUUUCGUGUAUUUUUAUAUCUAUACUUGCUUGUCUGCCAAUCAUUAUUACGUUCAAGUAAUUCACUGUUACUCAUGUAUGACUUUUACUCAGACAAGCGAUGCCUUGUUUAUUUGUAUGUUGUCCGCUAAGAUAAAUAUCUCCGUCCCAACCACUUUUUAAUGUUUUUGCUAAGGUAUGUUUUAGGUGACUUUCCUGUAUAAAAAAGACUUAUAAUACCUUUUUUUGUCUAACCAUUUGAAACUUUUAGUGCAUUUAUCUUUGUUAUUUAGCCCUUGUACAUUUACAGUACAUAUGUUAAUACUCACACAAAAGAACCAAAAUUGCAUGAUACCAUUCUUGUUCCAAACAUUUUAAAAUCAUUUUGUAGAGCUAGAUUAUUAGUUAGUUCAUUAUGUCAAGUUAUAUUAAGCUUUGAUGUUAAAAACAAUUACCUUCCAUGUUCUACAGGUUGUUGAAACAUUGUAUUCAUUAAAUUGAUCUCAGCACUAA